rnacentral:lncRNA from 1 species
CCCCUUUCUUCUUUUCUUUUUCUUUCUUCUUUUCUUUUUCUUUUUUCUUGACAUUUGUUUGGUGAAACUUUUUCUGCCAUUGAAGAGAAAAUUUCAAGUUUUAUUUAUGAUAGUUUUAAGCUUACAGUAAUGAAAUGUGCAGUGAUGAAAUUUCAAGUUUUAUUAUUGAAAGGUAAAGUUAUAAAUCUUUGAUAAUCUUUCGUUUUUUGCCAUUGAUUAAUCUUUUUUUCACCAUUUUCAUCUUCCUUGUAAACAUCAAAAGUUUAUCAAUCAACCCAACUCCCUUCUUCCUUCCUACCACUAAUAUUAUCAAGUCUUAAACCUUUGAUAUAUAAAAAAAAAAAAAAAACUCAAGUUUUGAAGGAGUUGACGAUAUGUUUCAUGUUUUCAUCAUCGAUGACUGCAACAACAAUUUUG